GACGAACGCUGGCGGCGUGCCUAAUACAUGCAAGUAGAACGCUGAAGGAGGAGCUUGCUUCUCCGGAUGAGUUGCGAACGGGUGAGUAACGCGUAGGUAACCUGCCUGGUAGCGGGGGAUAACUAUUGGAAACGAUAGCUAAUACCGCAUAAUAGCAGUUAUUGCAUGAUAACUGUUUGAAAGGUGCAAUUGCACCACUACCAGAUGGACCUGCGUUGUAUUAGCUAGUUGGUGGGGUAACGGCUCACCAAGGCGACGAUACAUAGCCGACCUGAGAGGGUGAUCGGCCACACUGGGACUGAGACACGGCCCAGACUCCUACGGGAGGCAGCAGUAGGGAAUCUUCGGCAAUGGACGGAAGUCUGACCGAGCAACGCCGCGUGAGUGAAGAAGGUUUUCGGAUCGUAAAGCUCUGUUGUAAGAGAAGAACGAGUGUGAGAGUGGAAAGUUCACACUGGACG
rnacentral:rRNA from 1 species